GUUGUAGCUCGUUGACAAGAGCUUUUGAUUUGCACGCAAAAGGUUCUGGGUUCAGUCCCCGGCAUCGGCA